GUCGGAGUCAACCGUAGAAUCGGUAACCAGCACAGCUGUUGCAUGGCUGUCGUCAGCUCGUGUCGUGAGACGUACGCUUAAGUGCGGUAACGAGCGCAACCCUCACCUUAAGUUGAAUAUUCUUAAGGAACUGCCUCUGCAUUUGCGGGGGAGGAAGGGGAGGAUGACGUCAAGUCAGCACGACGCUUAUAUCCAGGGCUACACACAUCCUACAAUGGAAGGGACAAUGGGUUGCCAAGCCGUAAGGUGGAGCUAAUCCCAUCAAACCCUUUCUCAGUUGGGAUUGAGGGCUGCAAUUCGCCCUCAUGAACGCGGAAUUGGUAGUAAUCGCGGGUCAGCAGACCGCGGUGAAUACGUUCUCGCUCCUUGUCCACACUGCCCGUCAAUUGAGGAAAGUCGGGAGUGCCCGAAGUACCCCCUCGCGGGGUCCUAAGGCAAGCUCGGUAAUCAGCGAUAAGUCGUAACAAGGUA
rnacentral:rRNA from 1 species